GAUGAACGCUGGCGGCGUGCCUAAUACAUGCAAGUCGAGCGAACGGACGAGAAGCUGGCUUCUCUGAUGUUAGCGGCGGACGGGUGAGUAACACGUGGAUAACCUACCUAUAAGACUGGGAUAACUUCGGGAAACCGGAGCUAAUACCGGAUAAUAUUUUGAACCGCAUGGUUCAAAAGUGAAAGACGGUCUUGCUGUCACUUAUAGAUGGAUCCGCGCUGCAUUAGCUAGUUGGUAAGGUAACGGCUUACCAAGGCAACGAUGCAUAGCCGACCUGAGAGGGUGAUCGGCCACACUGGAACUGAGACACGGUCCAGACUCCUACGGGAGGCAGCAGUAGGGAAUCUUCCGCAAUGGGCGAAAGCCUGACGGAGCAACGCCGCGUGAGUGAUGAAGGUCUUCGGAUCGUAAAACUCUGUUAUUAGGGAAGAACAUAUGUGUAAGUAACUGUGCACAUCUUGACGGUACCUAAUCAGAAAGCCACGGCGAACUACG
rnacentral:rRNA from 1 species